rnacentral:rRNA from 1 species
UGGGGAAUAUUGGACAAUGGGGGGAACCCUGAUCCAGCCAUGCCGCGUGUGUGAAGAAGGCCUUAUGGUUGUAAAGCACUUUAAGCGAGGAGGAGGGUACUGGUAUUAAUACUACCAGCUACUGGACGUUACUCGCAGAAUAAGCACCGGCUAACUCUGUGCCAGCAGCCGCGGUAAUACAGAGGGUGCAAGCGUUAAUCGGAAUUACUGGGCGUAAAGCGCGCGUAGGUGGUUCGUUAAGUUGAAUGUAAAAGCCCCGGGCUCAACCUGGGAACUGCAUCCAAAACUGGCGAGCUAGAGUAGGGCAGAGGGUGGUGGAAUUUCCUGUGUAGCGGUGAAAUGCGUAGAUAUAGGAAGGAACACCAGUGGCGAAGGCGACCACCUGGGCUCAUACUGACACUGAGGUGCGAAAGCGUGGGGAGCAAACAGG